GAUGAACGCUGGCGGCGUGCCUAAUACAUGCAAGUCGAGCGAACAGAUAAGGAUCUUGCUCCUUUGACGUUAGCGGCGGACGGGUGAGUAACACGUGGGUAACCUACCUAUAAGACUGGGAUAACUUCGGGAAACCGGAGCUAAUACCGGAUAAUAUUUCGAACCGCAUGGUUCGAUAGUGAAAGAUGGUUUUGCUAUCACUUAUAGAUGGACCCGCGCCGUAUUAGCUAGUUGGUAAGGUAACGGCUUACCAAGGCGACGAUACGUAGCCGACCUGAGAGGGUGAUCGGCCACACUGGAACUGAGACACGGUCCAGACUCCUACGGGAGGCAGCAGUAGGGAAUCUUCCGCAAUGGGCGAAAGCCUGACGGAGCAACGCCGCGUGAGUGAUGAAGGUCUUCGGAUCGUAAAACUCUGUUAUUAGGGAAGAACAUACGUGUAAGUAACUGUGCACGUCUUGGCGGUACCUAAUCAGAAAGCCACGGCUAACUACGUG
rnacentral:rRNA from 1 species